UAGGUUGCAGACCCUCAGAAACCCAGAAAACUGAUUUUUGGACCAUUUGAGGCCAUUUUUUCUGCUAAAUCUGACCGAGCACGGUGUUACAAUUUUUCGCCGUAAACCUACCCAAGGUAUAAUCUCGUACACGAAUAUAGAUGGAAACGAAUGAAAAACGCUCAGACGAUGGUAGUUCUUCGGGUACCGUGAGAGACAAACCGAAUACCGGAACACCCAGGCUUUUCUUCAAGAAAUGAACUGUCAACGAAGGUACCGACAUAAUUUGUCCCCAUCAUUUCAUAUAUUAAAGGCAGACUACAGAUUUAGGAUAACCAGGUCGUUGUCUCCUUAAUGAAUACUCUAGAUUGAAGCUAAGAAACUG